UCGAAUAAAGUACGACAGUAAACCUGCUGGUCCUGACUCUGAGUAGAAGGCUGACAAUGGCGCCACCUUGUGCAUAAUCCGAUCAUUACAGCCGACGUAAAAGCGCAACUCUCUGGCUAAACGCCCGCAGAUAAUCUGCAAGCGACGCGACAAACCAAAGCGGCUCUGUAAUAAUUAACAGCUCCGCGACGCGGUGAAACGAAGCGGCGUUGAUUGCAAGUUCGUCGCGUCGCGUCAGAUGGGCUUUAAGCUUCUGGGCGUCGCCUUGGUUCGACUCGGACCAAUAGGGGCUCCGCGCAGUACUUUGUAAACAACACCGUUGCACGCUGUAUGAAAACUUUACUACGAGAGAGGAUGUCGCGUGCCGAAGACCGCCAGAAAACCUCUUAAUUCGGUGGCCAUGGAUUUCACGUAGGCUAAAGCUAAUGCGUACAUUCAACACCUUGUUUGGUGGUGCACGACUACCCAAUGAAGGAAACAUCUGCCUGCGUGUUGCACCGUCUGCACCAGAUCACCACAGCCGGCUAACUGAGGGAGAACUUCUGCACAGUACAUCCACAUCGCUGGAGCAACUGCUGCUGCUCUCUCUCUCUCACACACACACACACACACACACACGUGAGGUUCUGCUUCAGCAUACCGCCAGCACCCUCCACAACAGCUGUGUGCAUGUGUCUGUUUGUGUAUGUGUGUGUCGACACAGGAACUAUCUCUUUUCAUCCAGCAGUUGGGAACAUGCCUUGGCCCUCACCGCUGGCCAUCAGCUCUGUUCCGUAUUCUUCUGGAGUGUGUGGACAUACACACACGCACGUGCACCCAGUUCCUGUGUGGUAACCUCGUUCAGAUGCAGUGAGUUACACUGAACAGGUUUUUCAGUGCAGACUAGCAGAGGUGUUAUAUCAGAGCUCGCUUUCAUCAGUAUUCAAACUAAAGUCUCCUAAUCCUGGUAUUUUUUUUUGGAUAAACCAGUGUAUCUGCUAAUUUAUAUGUAGUUUGUUAAAGGCGUUUUGUGAUUGGUGGUAUAUGUAACGGUUAUCACAUAAUCUGAUUAAAUGUUGCUUUUCAAAGCAAAAAAUAAAUAAAAUUCUCAGUGUUUUUCCUUUCUAAUACUAAUAUAUAAACAUACAUAGAUCAUGGAUAUAUUUAUAGGUAUGUAUUCUUGAAAAAAUCUAACCAAAUGAAAUGACUUCAAAUAUCUAUUAAUAAGCUAUGAAAACCCCAUUGUUUGUUUCUUAAAGGGAUAAUCUGAUUCACUUUUACAUUUAGUUUGAACUGAAAUGUGACAACCACUCUGUAAUGAUAAAAUCCAUCCAGAUAAAUAAUAUCCCCUUUUUCAAAUCAAGCCAUAUUGCAAAUCCCCUUUUCUAAUAUUGCACUAGUUACUAAUUUCACGAUGAAAGCAUCAUCUCAAUUAAUCUUGAUAUGUAUCUAGAAGAUGAAAAAGAUAAAAAUACAGAAUAAAAACAGUAUGAUUUCUUUGAAGUGUGACAGAAGGUACAGUAAAAGUUAUUUAAGUAUUCUGCUUCAUGGUCUAGCAAUUAUUUGUUUUUGUUCUUUCUGACUUGAUUUUGACUUUCCCUUCGAUUAGGUCACCAAUUAGUGGUCCUAAUUCAAAUCCGUGGUUUAUCCAUAAUGUAUCUUUAAUUUGUUUAUAUGAAUGUUUUCCCCCAGCAGAAAUAGAGCACUGAAUCAGCAUAUAUACCAUGUAAAUGUGCAUUUCAUUAUUUAUUUACAAAGGAAGCACAAUCAUGGGAAAGAGAGUCAAUGUAUUUACACUGGCUUAGGAGACAAAAAAAGCAUUUUAUUUCCAUAACUGGUUUCCUAUAAUGUUUCCAGUGCUAUAAAUAGAUCGGAAUAUAAUACUGACUUGAAUUUUUUUAUUUAUUAUAUUCAGAGAAUUUUGGUAAGACAUUUUAGAAAAGCACUAGAAGUAGAGUUAUUUCCUUGAUGCGACGUAAUGGUACUUUUCACCUGCAACUUCCACCUCUACUGCAACAUUGUAUAGGAAAGACCAUUGAGCUUUUAUACUUAGAUGAUCCUAGCCCUUUAGUUAGAAAGCAAAGUAAAAGUAAGCUUUCCCAGAGAAGAAAUGGCGGCAGUGACUCCUCUGGAAGUCCAGUCUGCCAAUGGCCUUGCUGUCCUCUCUACAAACCACAUAAAUAGUCUAGCGUGGGUAUGGCAUGAUCGGACAUUAAAAUAAUAAUUUAGCAAAAGGGAAAGCACAGGCCUGCUCAUUCCCAGAGCGAGUGGUGGGAAGAAUCGAUGACUUCCUUUUUCGAGUCUCUGUGGAUUAAGGACACAGCGUAGGUCCCGAGGGUGUCUAUCGUAUUAAUAGUCCUCUCAAUAAACUUGCAGAACAUGUGAGAACUUCUGGUCAAUGAAUCAAACAAGAGAUCGCGUGGAAAGCGCAUCUCCCAACCACGAGCGUGUAGUAUCUUGUAUCUUUCACACAAUGGGCAAGCAGCGAAGGUGUGUGACAUUUGAAUGCGUUAAAGACAGCAACCUGAGAUUUGAGCUUUUGAAGUGUCAGUCCAGGUUUCUAUUGCUCUGGAAUUGUCAGGCAUUAACCACAAGUCUGUCCCGGGGUGCAACGCCCUAAGCGAGGGAGUGGGGGACUUUUUCUCAGGUGAAGUGUUCCUGGGCUUUGUGUGGCACCACAAAUCGGAGUCCCAUACACAAGUAUGAGAAGCGCUCGAGUAUCGUAAAUAGAUCGGCAGCUCUGCCCUAUGGGAUGUGCUGGGCUGAUGACAUCGGGUCUCUAUGGUUACCAACGGGGAAAGCCCCAGCAUAUGUAUGCGUGACUCUAUUCACGAGAAUAUCAAUUAAGGAUCACAUGUCGAGUCUGACACUCUUCAGUUGUGUGAAACACUCGAGCUUGUUGUGGAAAAAAAUAGCAAUUAGGAAUGGGAAGAUCGAUCUCUGAAGUAUUGAUACGUUCUAUGUGUUAUCGAGAAGAAUUUUACCCGAUUUAGCAUUUUAAUUUAAAUUAAAUCUGUAAUUUUGUUUGGUAAAAUAUAAAUUUGAAUACAAAUGAAAGAGAUUUUAGUAAUGAUUUUACUGUUAAUGUAGCAUAUAUAUUAAUCUAAAAAAGAAUUAAAAUUAGGAAAUAGUUAUAUGCUCAUUUUUAACAUUUAGAAAUUAUGAAAAACAUAAUUUUAACACUAUAAAAGACUUCAAAACGGCAAAGCUAUAUCCAACAUUUAAUUUAAUGAGUUGGUGUGAUGGUUUAUUACAUCGAUAAAUAUUUACAUUUUGUCAUACUCUGUAACAAAAAAUAAAGAAGAAAAAAAAGAUAUUGCAGUUUACAUGGUAAAUUAAAUUAAAUUCAAAAUUUGAACUAUUUCUUUAACUGGUACAUAGUUGUACCAGAAAUGAACUCUGGGAACGUAGAAUGCAAAUUCUUAUCUUUUCACAUAAAGUCAAACAUGGAGAACAGAAAUUAAUAUAAUUGUUCAUUUAAUUGUUUAGCUAGAACGUUGAAGUACGGCCAGAAAGAAUAGGUUUCAUUUCUUCUCUAGCUUACAUCUCCCUAAGAUGAGUUCCUCCGAAGGGUGGCAAUUGUCCGGCAUUGGGGACAAACCCAUGGUCCCUGAACAGGCACAGGAGUCACCAGCGUACAUACCGACAUACCACACUGAUGGUUGAACACGUCCCAGAGCGAAGGCCACCCAGCUUCGUCGGCCCUCCGCGGUCUACCUUCCGCGUUCCUUGUCGGGUCCGACCGAGGAUCAAGGGCAGGCCGCGCGUCGGGGGACACUGUAAUGAGUGCAGGGGCCUGGCCAUCACUUUCAAGCUCUGGCCCAGGAGUGUAUUUUCAUCAAACGCUAUUUCCUGCAGAUAAGACCCAAACAUUUCUCCUCUUUUCAUAUUUUUAGGGUGGGAGGAAAAGGGAGUGAUUGACAUGAUUUUGAAUGAGGGAAUCAUCUGCUCUGGUAGCAUUGCACUCUGUCAGUGUUAAAGCUCAUCUGCCAAAGUAUAUGUAUAAGUACUAGCUUUGUGAAUAACUGCUUAUCUAUGGUUUGUUGUGUUCGGGCCCCUUCCAUUCAAACAUAAUGUAACUCUGCUCUCUGGCUCUUUAAUAGCUUAAUCAGGCCUGUAUUACACUAUUACUUUACUCACCCAAGACCUUGCAAAUUGUUUCCAGCUUUGAGGAAAAUCAGUUAAGAUAGUUUGCAGGCCCUGAUAGGCAGUAGAUUUUAAUUUAGCGUAGUUGGUCCUUGUUCUUUUUCUUUUGGUUUUUUUGUUUAGACUACAGAGAGUUUGAUAUUUGCCUUAUCUGACUUUGUUUGAGCUCAGUAGCAUAUUGCUUGCUGUUGGCAUUCCCACAGUUGGAAGGUGUAUUGUGUCAAUGUAUGUAAAACAUUAGGAGCUCAUCUGAAUCUGAACUGAAUGACACUAUCACAAGAGAGAGGAGCACGAGCAGACAAGGACAAACAUGGUACUUCCUUCCACGUGCCUCUGCCGUGAUCCCAAUCAUUCAUAAAUUUGCACAGCCAGGGAAGUUUGGAAGUCUGUCCAUCCUGUUCAUUAUCUAGAAGCCUCUGGCCAUUAGGCUGGAAUGAGAAACCAAACACAGGCUCAUCUUUAGAUAACGUCAUGGUCCGGAGGGACGGCAACCUGAAAGCCCUAACAGCUCCCUUUUCCGCUGGCUCUGUGUCAGUUCAUCACUCCCUGCCUACUUUCAUCUGGCCUCACUCUCUCUUUUCUUGGUUUAUGUCCUUCCCUGUCAAUGCUCUUCUGUAGUGCUUGUACUGACAGCAGUUCACAGUGACUGGAAGUUUUCAUUAUGGUUGGUUGUUUAUGACAUUGUAAGCAACAGAAACUGUUUUUGAUGCAUCAAAGCAAAGAGCAAAUAUUUAUGUGCAACAAAAUGCAACCAGCACAGCUUAUGCGAUCUACCGUCUGAUAAGGUUUUUUUUUUACUGUAGUUGAAUUAGUCUACUACAAACAGUAAACUUGGUAUCAUCCUAUGAUUUAAUCUCAGUCUUUCUUGCCCAGAUUAUUGCUUUGCUUCUUGUUUCUGCCUUUUUCAUUAUUUCUUACCUGAUAAAUACUUAGCACAAAGACAUUACUGCUUUACCAUGUUUUAUUUUUCAUGUCUUUCUUUUCAGUUGAUUCUGAAACGGAUGAAAAGAGGACCAGUGUUUCUUACCAGCACUGUAUUUUUGUAUAAAAAUGAAUUAAACAUAUUUAUUAUGUCCUAUUUUAUUUACCAGUUAAAGUUAUUUAUGUAUUUGUAUAUCAUUUCAGUAAUAACCUAUGUAAAACAUAUUUACAAAUAAAUUGUAUACAUUAUUUAUAUAAUUUAUGUCAUGACAAGUCAGGGAAUAGUUUGUAAAAUUGUAUUACUGUAAAUAGAACUUGCAUAGGUUAGGUCAUUGCAGACUACUUGCUGCUGCAAGCAAUUCUGAUAAAUGCUCAAAUCAUAAAAUGAAAAGGAAACAUGCUGUUGCUGCUGCUGCUAGAGAGGAAGAGUUCAUGUAUCAGAUCUAGAUAGGUGGUACUGGGGAGGAGGUGGGCUAAAAUGUGUACCUGCAUACAGUAAUUUGCAGACAUAUCAUUGAAUAUAUCCCAGAGAAACU